AAUCUUGCGCAAUGGGCGAAAGCCUGACGCAGCGAUGCCGCGUGAGGGAAGAAGGCCUUCGGGUUGUAAACCUCUUUCAGGAGGGACGAAGCCACUCGGGUUAAUAGCCCAGAGGGUGACGGUACCUCCAGAAGAAGCCCCAGCUAACUACGUGCCAGCAGCCGCGGUAAUACGUAGGGGGCAAGCGUUGUCCGGAUUCAUUGGGCGUAAAGAGCGUGUAGGCGGCCAGAUAGGUCAGCUGUGAAAACUCGGGGCUCAACCCCGAGACGUCGGUUGAAACCAUCUGGCUAGAGUCCGGAAGAGGAGUGUGGAAUUCCCGGUGUAGCGGUGAAAUGCGCAGAUAUCGGGAAGAACACCCGUGGCGAAGGCGGCACUCUGGGACGGUACUGACGCUGAGACGCGAAAGCGUGGGGAGCGAAC
rnacentral:rRNA from 1 species